UGCAAAAUAGCAUUAAAAAAAUAAUAAAAUUAUUAUUCUAUUCAAAAUGUAUCAAUCAUAAUACCGGCAAAAUUAAUCAACCUUAGAAAAUAGGUAGGUAAUAUUUAAAAUAAAUUAUUGUGAUUUAUACCUAAUUAUUAAAUUAUUUUAUAAAUUUAACAAUUUAAGGUAAAGUAGAUAUAACAGCUACAUUUAAACUGUUUGUGGAGUUGUUAAACGCAGUAAACAUAUGCUGUAAAGGUUCAAUUGACAAUACAUUCGAAAAAAGAUCUGGCGUCCAUCAAAAUUGGAAAUUCAACAAGGGUUUAUCAACUACAAAAAUGAUGUUUCAUAACUACGUGAAGUAGAUGAUGCAAAGCGAGAAAAAAAAAGUCAAUUAACCAGACAGUGCAUUGUGUUAUGUUGGCCCAGGACUAAUUAUUCAAGACUGAUUGCCGAUUGCGAGUAUUGUUGAUUGUGUUGUGAUAAACCAUUAUUUUUAAAAUUAGAGAGUGCUCUAAAAGCAGUAGACGUAUAUUAUAAAUCAUUUUUUGCCCUACACCUUGAUUACUCUACUGAAAGUGGUCAAUUUCAGCAAUUACAACAAAUACAACAAUAUUUUUUUGGUACUUAUGGGUUAUCGCCAUUAGGCAUAAGCCUUAGUUGUCGAAGAAAAAAUGAAUAAUUUCAAGACCAAUAAAAAAAAGGUGGAUAAGUGGAUGUCGCUCUGCUGUACAGUAGGUUACAAGUGGUUCACUGUAAUGGAUGGUGUUAAAUUUGAAUUCAAUGAUAUAAUAUCAUUGAAUAAGAAAAACGAUUCUGAGCGAAAACGGUCAGUCAGCCUAUGAUAUUACCAAUUAUAUUUGAUGAUAUUAUUGUGAAUAAAGUAAUUUAUAUAUAACCUA